rnacentral:sRNA from 1 species
CUCAUCUUUCUUUCCACCGUCACACGAGCUCCUUUCUCGUCUGCAGAGUUCACCGUUUCCGUGGAAUCCAUUAAUUUCGAAACUUUCUCAUUCUCUUAUUUCCGUGGAAUCAUCUCUUCUCUCCGGAGCCAUUUUCUUCUUCAUUCAAGUAUUUGGCGGGGAGAAAGCGUCAGAUUGAGGAUAUUUAUGGAUUUGGAUAUGUGAAUGUCAAACUUAGGUUCAAGUUAGCUCUGUUUGUAAGACAGAUUAGUUCCGCCCAAAGUGUGUUGUGUUUGAAGAGAAUGUAAUCAUAAUUGUUGGUGACAGACACCAAUUCCUGAACAACG